rnacentral:rRNA from 1 species
UACGUAGGGUGCGAGCGUUGUCCGGAAUUAUUGGGCGUAAAGGGCUCGUAGGCGGUUUGUCGCGUCGGGAGUGAAAACCCAGGGCUUAACUCUGGGCUUGCUUUCGAUACGGGCAGACUAGAGGUAUGCAGGGGAGAACGGAAUUCCUGGUGUAGCGGUGAAAUGCGCAGAUAUCAGGAGGAACACCGGUGGCGAAGGCGGUUCUCUGGGCAUUACCUGACGCUGAGGCGCGAAGGCUAGGGGAGCGAACGGG